UGCGUAGGCGGGUUAAUUAGUCAGUGGUGAAAUCCCUCAGCUUAACUGGGGAACUGCCAUUGAUACUGUUAGUCUUGAGUAUAGUUGAGGUGGGCGGAAUGUGUCAUGUAGCGGUGAAAUGCAUAGAUAUGACACAGAACACCGAUUGCGUAGGCAGCUCACUAAACUAUCACUGACGCUGAUGCACGAAAGCGUGGGUAGCGAACAGGAUUAGAUACCCUGGUAGUCC
rnacentral:rRNA from 1 species